rnacentral:rRNA from 1 species
UACGGAGGGUGCAAGCGUUAUCCGGAUUCACUGGGUUUAAAGGGUGCGUAGGCGGUUAAGUAAGUCCGUGGUGAAAUCUCUGAGCUUAACUCAGAAACUGCCGUGGAUACUAUUUGCCUUGAAUAUUGUGGAGGUGAGCGGAAUAUGUCAUGUAGCGGUGAAAUGCUUAGAUAUGACAUAGAACACCAAUUGCGAAGGCAGCUCACUACACAAUCAUUGACGCUGAGGCACGAAAGCGUGGGGAUCAAACCGG